rnacentral:rRNA from 1 species
GACGAACGCUGGCGGCGUGCUUAACACAUGCAAGUCGAACGGAAAGGCCCUGCUUUUGUGGGGUUCUCGAGUGGCGAACGGGUGAGUAACACGUGAGUAACCUGCCCUUGACUUUGGGAUAACUUCAGGAAACUGGGGCUAAUACCGGAUAGUAGCUCCUGCUGCAUGGUGGGGGUUGGAAAGUUUCGGCGGUUGGGGAUGGACUCGCGGCUUAUCAGCUUGUUGGUGGGGUAGUGGCUUACCAAGGCUUUGACGGGUAGCCGGCCUGAGAGGGUGACCGGCCACAUUGGGACUGAGAGACGGACCAGACUCCUACGGGAGGCAGCAGUGGGGAAUAUUGCACAAUGGGCGGAAGCCUGAUGCAGCAACGCCGCGGGCGGGAUGACGGCCUUCGGGUUGUAAACCGCUUUCGCCUGUGACGAAGCGUGAGUGACGGUAAUGGGUAAAGAAGCACCGGCUAACUACGUG